rnacentral:tRNA from 1 species
AACCCUUGGGGAACGACGGCGGCCCCGCACCUUUUCGCAAAAGGUGCGGGGCCGCCGUCGUACUCAGCGAAGAACUGC